GACGAACGCUGGCGGCGUGCUUAACACAUGCAAGUCGAACGGUGAAAGCGGAGCUUGCUCCGCUGGAACAGUGGCGAACGGGUGAGUAACACGUGGGUAACCUGCCCAUAAGACUGGGAUAACUCCGGGAAACCGGGGCUAAUACCGGAUAACAUUUUGAACCGCCUGGUUCGAAAUUGAAAGGCGGCUUCGGCUGGCACUUAUGGAUGGACCCGCGUCGCAUUAGCCAGUUGGUGAGGUAACGGCUCACCAAGGCAACGAUGCGUAGCCGACCUGAGAGGGUGAUCGGCCACACUGGGACUGAGACACGGCCCAGACUCCUACGGGAGGCAGCAGUAGGGAAUCUUCCGCAAUGGACGAAAGUCUGACGGAGCAACGCCGCGUGAGUGAUGAAGGCUUUCGGGUCGUAAAACUCUGUUGUUAGGGAAGAACAAGUGCUAGUUGAAUAAGCUGGCACCUUGACGGUACCUAACCAGAAAGCCACGGCUAACUACGUGCCAGCCGCCGCAGUAA
rnacentral:rRNA from 1 species